GGGGGCGAGCGCAUUGACAGGAUGGGAAGCUGCGUGUGCAAGCUGAGAGCCCCGAUCUCUCACAAAUCAAGUGGGGCCACAUUAUCUGGCAACAUAUUCGGCCGACAACCGGCCUUAGCUGUAGCGUAAGCUUACGGCCGUCUCCUGACCGAUUCUCGAUAGGUCAAAGAGGCGUCACGUUUCGAGAAACGACGGUGAAAAUCUGGUCCCGACUCACCGCCGCAUAAGGGACCGCAGGAAUGGAGAUUUCGUCGGGCCUUGACUCCGUUCCUUACCAGGCCCGACUACGCUUGAAGACUCACGAGGCCUACUCAUGCUGGACGGGAGCUCAUCCUCCCCGCCUCCACCA
rnacentral:tmRNA from 1 species